rnacentral:rRNA from 1 species
UACGUAGGUGGCAAGCGUUGUCCGGAAUUAUUGGGCGUAAAGCGCGCGCAGGCGGUCCCUUAAGUCUGAUGUGAAAGCCCACGGCUCAACCGUGGAGGGUCAUUGGAAACUGGGGGACUUGAGUGCAGAAGAGGAAAGUGGAAUUCCAUGUGUAGCGGUGAAAUGCGUAGGGAUGUGGAGGAACACCAGUGGCGAAGGCGACUUUCUGGUCUGUAACUGACGCUGAGGCGCGAAAGCGUGGGGAGCAAACAGG